GCAACUGCGGCUGCGUCCCUCUCCCUCUGCACUGCCCUCAAUUAUCUGUGUGAGAGAGAGUGGAGGGCAGGCCAAAUAAAGCCAUAGGUGCUGCUGGGAGAGGAGUGCGUGUUAGCAUGCUAUAAAUACUUGAUGCAUCUGGAGUUUCAGGGUUGGCUACUGUCUGGGUCUCAGCAGACCAGAUCACAGGCUCUAUGUUGAUCUAGUGAUUUAUAGAAUUAUUGAUUUAUUGGACUGGGACAGGGAUUGGACCAUCCUGGAGGUGACAGGCCAUCAUGCCUAGGAUAGACGUGGAUGUGAAGCUGGACUUUAAAGAUGUCCUGUUCAGACCCAAGAGAAGCAGCCUGAAGAGCAGGUCAGAGCAAACUCUCUUCACCGCCAUGCAGAAGCACUACACUGUGGAGCAGUGGAAGGCUUUUGCAGCCAAGUUUCCAGAAUGUUUGGAGCACAUAGCGGUCAGCUCAGGCAGCGGUCAAGCCGACCUGGAGAAGCUGUGCAGCGUCCUGAAGGCCGUCUCUGACAUCAGAUUCAUCUGUCUGGACGUGGCCAACGGCUACUCUGAACACUUUGUGGAGUUUGUCAAAACCGUCAGGGGGAGGUUUCCCCAACACACUAUCAUGGUGAGGCCGUUCCAUCAAGUUAACACAGCUGAACAGCUUUUGAAGACUUCAUUUGCUUAUGUCGUUUUAAUUACUGUAAAUAUUCUUACAUGUGCAAUGUGAUGUGCCAUGCAAUGUUAAACUAUCACCUGUUUGGUAGUUAGUUGGUUUGGUAGCUGUAUAGGUAUUCUAAAUGCUAUGACUAUGUCUGCCUGUCCGUCUGUCCGUCUGUCCGUCUGUCCGUCUGUCCGUCUGUCCGUCUGUGUGUCUCUAACUGUGGUCAGGCUGGCAACGUGGUGACAGGAGAGAUGGUGGAGGAGCUGAUCCUGGCAGGAGCUGACAUCAUUAAAGUGGGUAUUGGGCCAGGUGGGUCUGUUACUCUGGUACACUGUUACUCUGUCUGUUACUCUGGUGCUCCGUCUGUUACUCUGUCGGUUACUCUGUCGGUUACUCUGCCUGUUACUCUCUGUUGCUCUGUUACCCUGUCUGUUGCUCUGUCUGUUACUCUAUGGUACCCUCUAUGUUACUCUGUUACUCUGUCUGUUACUCUGUUACUCUGUCUGUUACUCUCUGUUACUCUGUCAGCCACUCUGUCUGUUACUCUGUUACUGUCUGUUACUCUGGGACUUUGUCUGUUGCUCUCUGUUACCCGGUUAUUCUGUCAGUUGCUCUGUCUGUUACUUUGUCAGUUGCUCUGGGUGUUACUCUGCUACUUUGUUACUGUCUGUUACUCUAUUACUAUGUAUGUUACUCUCUGUUACUCUGUCAGUUACUCUGUCUGUUACUCUGUUACUCUGUCUGGUGCUCUAUUACUAUGUAUGUUACUCUCUGUUACUCUGUCAGUUACUCUGUCUGUUACUCUAUUACUAUGUAUGUUACUCUCUGUUACUCUGUCAGUUACUCUGUCUGUUACUCUGUUACUCUGUCGGUUACUCUCUUACUCUGUCUGGUACUCUGUUUGUUACUCUCUGUUACUCUGUCGGUUACUCUGUCGGUUACUCUCUUACUCUGCCUGUUACUCUGUUUGUUACUCUCUGUUACUCUGUCGGUUACUCUGUCGGUUACUCUCUUACUCUGUCUGUUACUCUGUUUGUUACUCUCUGUUACUCUGUCGGUUACUCUGUCGGUUACUCAGUUAUUCUGUCAGGUACUCUGUCUGUUACUCUGCUACUGUGUCUGUUACUCUGUUAAUCUGUCUGGUACUCUGUCUGUUACUCUGUUACUGUGUAUGUUACUCUGGUACUCCAUCGGUUACUCUCUGUUACUCUGUUGGUUACUCUGUCUGUUACUCUCUGCUACUCUGUUACACUGUUACUAUGUCUGGUACUCUAUCACUCCGUCUGUUACUCUCUGUUACUCUGCCGGUUACUCUGUCUGUUACUCUGUUACUCUGUCUGCUACUCUGGUACUCCGUCUGUUACUCUGUUACUCUGUCUGUUACUCUGGUACUCUGUUACUCUGUCUGUUACUCUGGUACUCCAUCGGUUACUCUGUCUGUUACUAUGUUACUCUGUUACUCUGUCUGUUGCUCCGGUACUCUGUUACUCUAUUACUCCGUCUGUUACUCUGUCGGUUAGUCUGUUACUCUGUCUGUUGCUCUGUUGGUUACUCUGUUACUCUGUUGGUUACUAUGUUACUCUGUAUGUUACUCUGUCACUCUGUAUGUUACUCUGUAUGUUACUCUGUCUGUUACUCUGUCUAUUACUCUGUUAUUCUGUCUGUUGAUCUGUCGGUUACUCUGUUACUCUGUCUGUUACUCUGUCUGUUACUCUGUUACUCUGUUACUAUGUAUGUUACUCAGUUGGUUACUCUGUUACUCUGUCUGUUACUCUGUCUGUUACUCUGUUACUCUGGUACUCUGGUACUCUGUCUGUUACUCAGUUGGUUACUCUGUCUGUUACUCUGUCUGUCACUCCGGUACUCUGUUACUCUGUCUGUUACUCUGUUACUCUGUCUGUUAUUCUGUUACUUUGUCUGUUACUCUGUUACUUUGUCUGUUACUCUGUUACUCUGUCAGUUACUCUGUCGGUUACUCUGUUACCAUGUCUGUUAUACGGUCUGUUAUAAGGUCUGUUACCCUGUCUGUUAUUCUGUUACUCUGUCUGAUACUCUGUCUGUUACUCCGUUACUCUGUCGGUUACUCUGUUGGUUACUCUGUCUGUUACUCUGUCUGUUACCCUGUCUGUUAUUCUGUCUAUUACCCUGUCUGUUGCACUGGCUGUUACCCUGCCUGUUACUCUGUCUGUUACUCUGUCUGUUGUUCUGUUACUUUAUAUGUUACUCUGUUACUCUGUCUGUUAAUCUGUCUGUUACUCUGAUACUCUGUUGGUUACUCCGUUGGUUACUCUGUCUGUUACUCUGUUACCCUGUCUGUUACCCUGUCUGUUACCCUGUCUGUUACCCUGUCUGUUACACUGUCUGUUACACGGUCUGUUACUCUGUCUGUUACUCUGUCUGUUACUCUGUUACCCUGUCUGUUAUACUGUUUGUUACACUGUCUGUUACACUGUCUGUUACACUGUCUGUUGCCCUGUCUGUUACUCUGUCUGUUACUCCGUCUGUUACUCUAGCACCCUCUUCCCUACAUAGUGCACUAUAAGUAGAGCACUAUAUGGAGUCAUGAGUUCACCAGGGCUCCCUUCAAGAGAGAAAAAUACUUCAGCUGAGUGCAUUCAGCUCCUGACAAACUGACACGUCAUGAUUCCCCUCUAGGUUCUGUGUGUACGACGCGUAUUAAGACGGGAGUGGGAUACCCCCAGCUCAGUGCUGUCAUAGAGUGUGCAGACUCCGCCCACGGCCUGAAGGGUCACAUCAUCUCAGAUGGCGGAUGCAGCUGUCCUGGCGAUGUGGCUAAGGCAUUUGGCGCUGGAGCUGAUUUUGUGAUGCUGGGGGGCAUGCUGGCUGGCCACGACCAGUGUGCCGGGGAGGUCAUUGAGAGGAAUGGCAGAAAGGUCAAGCUGUUCUAUGGGAUGAGCUCUGACACGGCCAUGAAGAAACAUGUAGGGGGAGUGGCAGAGUACAGAGCGUCAGAGGGCAGGACGGUGGAGGUACCGUACAGGGGGGAUGUAGAGGCCACCAUCAGGGACAUUCUGGGUGGUCUGCGCUCCACCUGCACCUACGUAGGAGCUGCCAAACUGAAGGAGCUCAGUCGCAGGACCACCUUUAUCAGAGUCACACAGCAGGCCAGCCACAUGUUCACAUAGUAGUAAAUAGACGGAGGGACGGACAGACAGACAGCCAUGAUCUUUCUUGUGGCUGUUUAGAACUUCACAUCCUAAUGCCUGAUUUCAAUUGUGCUGAUUUAAUUUAAAAUGUAAAAGUUUGAAUCUACAACAAUAUUUAUGUAAAUGCAUGUGUUACUUUCCCUGUACACAGUAGACAGAAAGAGGAGAAACAGAGAAAUACCAACCUGGACUCAGGGGUAGACAUAGUAAACUUAUAUCCGUGACACUCCAAUUAGUAUGAUAUGUAACGUUUGGCAUGGUUUUCAUUUGUGGAUGUCCAUCUUUCAUUUCGUCGGAUAUGUUACGAAUUACAAUAUGUUACGAAUUUGCAAAGGUAUGAUAUGUUAUGAAUUCUAAUUUGUUGAGGCUAAGGUUAUCUAGGUGUCUAGGUGGCUAACGCUAAUGUUAGCUAGGUGGCUAAUGUUAACCAGGUUAGGGGUUAAGGUUAGGAGUUAGGUUAGGGUAUGGGUUAGCUAAUAUGCUAAGUAGUUGCAAAAAAUUGGUAAGUAGUUUCAAAGUUGCUAAUUAGCUAAAAUGAUAAAAUUGUCUGUGAUGUUAUUCAAACUCACAGCCUUUGGGUUGCUUGAUGUUCAUGUUUUACACCUACCCAUCCACCCUGUCCAAACAUCCUACUUUUGUUUUUUGCCUUAAGUAACCUUCUGUCUUAUGUAACCAAAUGUAACAUAUCAUACUAAAUUGAAUCUUUCAGAAUUUGGAUUUACAUUUACUAUGUUACGUGUAGUCUAUGAGACCAGGCUGGAAAAACAGAGUGCUAGAGUAAGCAGCUGCUCUGUUGCUCCUCUUGAAAGAUGGAUGAAAGACAGAUGAGCCAGUUGAUAGACAGAAUUUCAGUUGACUCUGUUAUUUAUUAUUCUGAGUAUACAGAGACAAUACAUUUGUUCAUGUUCUUUUGUGUUUCUUUAAACAAAUUUGUUCAAAUCUAAAUGAAAUGUUAAAAAAAAUUACAACUGAAAUAUUUUGUCCAUAAACCUGGAAAAACUCUCCUAAGAAAGAGACCAUAGAUCAUACAGAACAGAUUGGAGUAUAUCCUACAAAUUAAACCGUAAUACCACAGUUAGAAAAGCAACUUUGAAGUCUUCUAGUCCUCUUGUUUCCUGUCUCCUGUUGUACAUAAAUGUAUCUUACAUAUGAGGUACACAAAAAAGUUAUUUCACAACCUUUCUUGGGGGUUGCGGACCAAUGCAUGAACAUUUUUUAAAUUACAGAUUGUACAAUAAUAACAAUGAUCCUAUUUUGUAUAAUAUCUACAACAAUGUUUAUAUUUUAGCACAUACAUAUCUCAGGAAAAAACAGUCAAUGGGCGGUGUCUGUUUCUCUGCCAGUUCACCUGAUUAUUGGCAAGAUGCAAACAACAGUCUAAUAAUCUCUAUUCAUUCUAUUCUCUGUCUCUCUCUCUCCCUCCUCUCUCUCCCUCCUCUCUCUCUCUCCUCUCAAUGAAUUUGAAAAUAUCCAAUUGCUUUCUUUGAUGAUAAACAGUUUUAUGAUAAUCACACACACACACACACACACACACACACACACACACAAUUCCUGAGUUCUGUAAAAUACUUUAUUUUGGCUAUAAGAAAAUAUAUAUAAUUUUAAACUGAAAGAAAAGAGAGACACCUGUGAGAAUUCAGUCUAAAGUAAGACAGGUACACAUGAGUGGGUAGUGAGGCCAGGUAGUUACAGAAUGUAGAGUAAUGUCCACAUUCAUGUGCACAGGUUCAUCUACUGCUGAACCUAUGGCACUGGUCCAUAAUCACUGAUGAUCUUGACUCUAGCUUUUUCACUUGACAGUACCAUGAUUACUCUGAUUUGCCUGAAUUAAAAGUAUGAAAAUAUACAUUUUAAUGAUUCAUGUCACGUGAAGAUACAAUGUAUUCUCAGGUGACAUAUUGCAAGUUGAGGUUUGAGUUUUACAUGGGAUGUCAUUCAUACAAAUAACUGAUGAAAGUGAAUCAGAGACAUUUUAGAGGGUCAUCGGUCUGUAAUGAUUUAACAUGGAAAAACACCAAUCUAUAAUUCAGGUAUUGCACAUACAACACAUACAACCCAAUUACAACUAAGUUAAUUGGACAGGUUCACUAUAGCUGUAGUUCAAUGUCAGUGGCUCUCCCUCCACCACUUUACAGUGUAAAACAUUGUAAAACAACGUCCAGAAGAACCACUGUAAAACGUUGUAUAACGUCCAGAAGAACCACUGUAAAACGUUGUAUAACGUCCAGAAGAACCACUGUAAAAUGUUGUAUAACGUCCAGAAGAACCACUGUAAAACGUUGUAUAACAUCCAGAAGAACCACUGUAAAACGUUGUAUAACGUCCAGAAGAACCACUGUAAAACGUUGUAUAACGUCCAGAAGAACCACUGUAAAACGUUGUAUAACAUCCAGAAGAACCACUGUAAAACGUUGUAUAACGUCCAGAAGAACCACUGUAAAACGUAGUAUAACGUCCAGAAGAACCACAGAAAGCCCCCGAUAAAAGGUGAAGUAGAACUCACUGCAGGAGAAGCUAUCAUGUAACUUACUACAGUAUGAAGCUAUCAGGUAACUUACUACAGUAUGAAGCUAUCAGGUAUGUAGCUGUCAGGUAGGUUACAACACUAUGAAGCUAUCAGGUAACUUACUACAGUAUGAAGCUAUCAUGUUUGACGCUAUUGGGUAACUUACUACAGUAUGAAGCUAUCAGGUAACUUACUACAGUAUGAAGCUGUCAGGUAACUUACUACAGUAUGAAGCUAUCAGGUAACUUACUACAGUAUGAAGCUAUCAGGUAUGAAGCUAUCAGGUAACUUACUACAGUAUGAAGCUAUCAGGUAACUUACUACAGUAUGAAGCUAUCAGGUAACUUACUACAGUAUGAAGCUAUCAGGUAACUUACAACAGUAUGAAGCUAUCAGGUAACUUACAACAGUAUGAAGCUAUCAGGUAACUUACAACAGUAUGAAGCUAUCAGGUAACUUACUACAGUAUGAAGCUAUCAGGUAACUUACUACAGUAUGAAGCUGUCAGGUAACUUACUACAAUAUGAAGCUAUCAGGUAACUUACUGCAGUAUGAAGCUAUCAGGUAUGAAGAUAUCAGGUAACUUACUACAGUAUGAAGCUAUCAGGUAACUUACUACAGUAUGAAGCUAUCAGGUAUGAAGAUAUCAGGUAACUUACUACAGUAUGAAGCUAUCAGGUAACUUACUACAGUAUGAAGCUAGCAUGUAACUUACAACAGUAUAUCUAAAACAAGAAGGGAAUGAAGACAUUAAAUCACAAAGAAUGCGUCCCAAACGGCACCCUCUUAGCUUUAUAGUGCACUACAACUGACCAGAGCCCAAAGUUAGGGCACUAUAUAGGAAAUGGGUGCCAUUUGGGACACAACCUGGCUAUCAAAGAUACUACUAACCCUGUCCUGUAGACAUUGGUUGAUGUUCAAAUCAAUAUGAUUACUCUUUAAAUUCACUUUGUGGAAUAUGGCCAAUAACAAAAUUAUACGCACCCAUAUUUCUGUAAACCGAAAUGAUUGAAACAUACAAUGCCUUCGGAAAGUGUUCAGACCCCUUGACUUUUUCCACAUUUUGUUACGUUACAGCCUUAUUCUAAAAUGUAUUCAAUAGUUUUUUCCCCCUCAUCAAUCUACACACAACACGCC
rnacentral:lncRNA from 1 species